rnacentral:rRNA from 1 species
AUAUCAAUAAGCGGAGGAAAAGAAACUAACAAGGAUUCCCUUAGUAACUGCGAGUGAAGAGGGAAGAGCUCAAAUUUAAAAUCUGGCAGUGUCUUGCUGUCCGAGUUGUAAUCUAGAGAAGUGCUGCCCGUGCUGGACCAUGUACAAGUCUCCUGGAAUGGAGCGUCACAGAGGGUGAGAAUCCCGUCUUUGACAUGGACUACCAGUGCAUUUGUGGUGUGCUCUCAAAGAGUCGAGUUGUUUGGGAAUGCAGCUCUAAAUGGGUGGUAAACUCCAUCUAAAGCUAAAUAUUGGCGAGAGACCGAUAGCGAACAAGUACCGUGAGGGAAAGAUGAAAAGAACUUUGGAAAGAGAGUUAAACAGUAUGUGAAAUUGUUGAAAGGGAAACGCUUGGAGUCAGUCGCGUCGGCCGGGAUUCAGUCGUCCCUUCUUCGGACGGAUUACUUCCCGGUGGACGGGUCAACAUCGAUUUCAGACGGCGGAUAAGGGAGCAAGGAAGGUGGCACCUUCACGGGUGUGUUAUAGCCUUGUUUCGCAUACGCCGACUGGGAUCGAGGUCUGCAGCGCGCCACUUAGGCCGGGGGUUCGCCCCACGUUACGCGCUUAGGAUGUUGGCAUAAUGGCUUUAAGUGA